GACAGAGGUCCCCGAGCGUUAGGCGGAAUCACUGGGCUUAAAGCGUGUGUAGGCGGAUCGUUAAGUGCCUUGUGAAAUCCCAUGGCUUAACCAUGGAACUGCUUGGCAUACUGGCGGUCUUGAGCCACUUAGGGGCAACCGGAACAAAUGGUGGAGCGGUGAAAUGCGUAGAUAUCAUUUGGAACGCCAAUGGUGAAAACAGGUUGCUGGGAGUGUGCUGACGCUGAGACACGAAAGCCAGGGGAGCGAACGGG
rnacentral:rRNA from 1 species